rnacentral:rRNA from 1 species
GACGAACGCUGGCGGCGUGCUUAACACAUGCAAGUCGAACGGAAAGGCCUUCUUUCCCUUGUGUGUUGCGGUUACUCGCGUGGCGAACGGGUGAGUAUCACGUGCGUUAUCUUCCCCCAACUUUUCUAUAAGCCUGGGAUACUGGCUCUUAUUCCCGCUAGCACUGUAGUGUGGUUCGUGUGGUGUCGACCGAUUUUCUUGUGGUUGCGGCUUAGCUGGCGGGCUAUCAGCUUGUUGGUGGGGUAAUGGCCUACCAAGGCUGGGACGGGUAGCCGGCCUGGGAGGGUGGGCGGCAACAGUGGAACGGAGAUACGGCGCAGACGACUACGGGAGGAAGCAGUGGGGAAGAUGGAACAAGGGGUGGAAGCCUGAGGGAGCGAGGCCGAGGGAGGGAUGACGGGCUUCGGAUUGUAAACUCCUGUCGACAGCGAGGAAGCCACCGGGUUGGAAGGGUGGUGACGGUAGUGGUAGAAGAAGCACCGGCUAACUACGUG